rnacentral:lncRNA from 1 species
ACACCACCACCACCACCACCACCACUAUUACCACUACAGCUGCUGCUGCUGCGGCUACUGCUGCUGCUGCUGCUGCCAAAACAAUAGUAACUGUGUCGCUACAACUGUAACCACAACAACACAGGCAAAGAGUACCACUCGGUUACUACAGCAUCGACAACCGGUGCGAUACGGUACUUAUUUACAUACUCUUCGACGCUGCUUCGACGUUAGCAACAUUACAACAACAACAACAACAACAACAAUAACAACAACAGCGACGACGACGACGGAGGCGGCGGGUUAACACGAAAGUUUCCUUUAUUUUUGUUUUUGUUUUUCUUUCCUACAUCGACUGGACACCUAUUUGGAAGGCAGGAGGUGAUGUACGGCGAUACACGGCGAUAUACGGGUAGCCGGAGAGGUAGGUACAGCUCUUGUCUAUUUGUAUUAGAAAUAUAUACGUACAUAGAUGCAUAUUUUGUGUGUGUGUGUAUGUAUAUAUAUAUAUAUAUAUAUAUAUAUAUAUAUAUAUAUAUAUAUAUAUAUAUAUAUAUAUAUACAUAUAUAUAUACAUAUAAAUAUAUAUACACAUAUAAAUAUGUAUAUAUAUAUAUAUUUAUAUAUAUAUACAUAUAUAUAUAUACAUAUAAAUAUAUAUACACAUAUAUAAUAUAUAUAUAUAUAUAUAUAUAUAUAUAUAUAUAUAUAUAUAUAUAUAUAUAUAUAUAUAUAUAUAUAUAUAUGUAUGUAUGUAUGUAUGUAUGUAUGUAUGUAUGUAUGUAUGUAUUGGGGUUUAUAUGUGUAUAUGGAGGCGCAAUGGCCCGGUGGUUAAGGCAGCGAACUUGCGGUCGGAGGAUCGCGGUUUCGAUUCCCAGACUGGGCGUUGUGUGAGUGUUUAUUGAGCGAAAACACCUAAAAGCUCCACGAGGCUCCAGCAGGGGUGGGGGUGUGGCGACCCCUGUUGUACUCUUUCGCCCACAAAUUUCUUUGAAUCUUUCUUCCUGUUUCUUGAGUAACGCUGCGAUGGACUGGGGUCUCGUCCAAUUGGGGUGAACACAUACGCCACAGAACCCGGGAAUCCGGGCCUAUGAGCCUGGCUAGGCUUGAAAAGGGGCGCAUAAAAAAAAAUAUGUGUAUAUAUAUAUAUAUAUAUAUACUGAUAUGCACUUUAUGCGUGCAUGCUUAUGCAUGCGUGCGUUCAUAUAUGGCUAUGUUGAUACAUAAACAGAGCGACAGACCGAUAGAUAGACAGAAAGAGAGAGAGAGAGAGAGAGAGAGAGAGAGAGUAGAUAGAUAGAUAGAUAGAUAGAUAGAUAGAUAGAUAGAUAGAUAGAUAGAUAGAUAGAUAGAUAGAUAGAUAGAUAGAUAGAUAGAUUCCUGUGCAUGCAUAUAUAUAUAUAUAAGAUAUGUAUAUAUCUGUGCGUGUGUUUGAAUGUGUGUUAUUUAUUUAAUUAAAAAACGCGGCGAACUGGCAGAAACGUUAGGACACCAGGCGAAAUGCUUAGCGGUAUUUCAUCUGUCGUUACGUUCUGAGUUCAAAUUCCGCCGAGGUCGACUUUGCCUUUCAUCCUUUCGGGGUCGAUAAAUUAAGUACCAGUUACGUACUGGGGUCGAUAUAAUCGACUUAAUCCGUUUGUCUGUCCUUGUUUGUCCCCUCUGUGUUUAGCCCCUUGUGGGUAAUAAAGAAAUAGGUAUUUAUUUAAUUAUUUUAUUAUUAUUAUUAUUAUUAUUAUUAUUAUUAUUAUUAUUAUUAUCAUCAUCAUCAUCAUCAUCAUAUCAUACAUAAAGUGGCGAGACGGCAGAAUCAUUACCACGCCGGACAGAAUGCUUAGCAGCAUGUCUUCCGGGUCCUUUCGUUCCGGGUUCAAAUUCUGCCGAUGUCGAUUUCGAAUGUCAUCAUUUCAGGGUCGAUGAAAUAAGUACCAGUUGCACACUGGAGUCGAUAUAGUUGACUUACCCCAAAUCACAAUUGCUGGCGUUGUGCCAUGAUUUAUAUCAUUAUAUGUACAUGUGGAGGCGCAAUGGCCCAGUGGUUAGGGCAGCGGACUCGCGGUCGUAGGAUCGCGGUUUCGAUUCCCAGACCGGGCGUUGUGAGUGUUUAUUGAGCGAAAACACCUAAAAGCUCCACGAUGCUCCGGCAGGGGGUGGUGAUCCCUGCUGUACUCUUUCACCACUCUUUCUUCUGUUGGCCUGCUCGCUUAGCCAGCGGGGUGGCGUCACUCGAAGGCUAAAACAAUGCGAACGCAUUGUGACCAGCGAUGUGUAACUACAUCUGAUGGACUGGUCAGUCACGUGAUGGUGAUGAUGGUGAUGAUAUGUAAAGUAUCGCUCCACAAACAAAUGCCUCCAACCAUUUCUGCGUGAAGGAUAACAGACCUAAACUUCGAGGUCACUGUCAACUUUUUUCUUUUUUCUAAACGUUUAUGAAACGUGUACUCUGUUGAAAAGUAUUGAGUAUUUUCCAGUCUAAUGUUAAAUGGUUUUUGUUUUAUAACUUGACAUAAAACACACACGUUAUAAGCAAGAGAGAAAAGUACUCAAUACCGUGAUAGAGUUAGGUUCGUUUGACGAGCCUACGAAAUUUUAAGUUGAAAAGAGACGAAUGAAACUUAUUAUAAAUAUUUAUAGGUGUAUGUAUGUAUGUAUGUAUGUAUAUACAUAUAUAAUAUAUAUAUAUAUAUAUAUAUAUAUAUAUAUAUAUAUAUAUAUAUAUAUAUAUAUAUACACACACAUGUAUAUAUAUAUACAUGUGUGUGUGUGUAUAUAUAUAUAUAUAUAUAUAUAUACACACACAUGUAUAUAUAUACACACACAUGUAUAUAUAUAUAUAUAUAUAUAUAUAUAUAUACACUCACACACACAUGUAAUAUAUAUAUAUACACUCACUCUCACACGUUAUAUAUUUAAUAAUAAUAAUAAUUAUAUAUAUAAUCUACUGUUCUGUGAGAGAAAGGUCAACAAAAAAUAGGUGCUCUAUCUGGUGAGAGAUAAAAAUUAUUUAUUUAAAGGACACAAUACAUGUCUUUAAGUGUUACUAAUAGUUUCAUAUGUUUAGAAAUGCCUUAGCCAUAUUCAUCAGACGCAAAUUACAUGUAACGAACUAAAAAUUGAAUAUAUAUAUGUCUGGAGUAGAACCCAAGUCGUGACCGAACAUGACCAUCUCUUACAAUCAAGAGUCCAAGAAGUACGUGCGCGUGAAUUUGUUUCGAGUGGCUAAAGUGUUGCACGGUACCGAUCCAACUUUUCGGUGCAAUCAGCUUUAAAACCAGCGGCGCAGCAGAAGCUGAGGAGGCGAACAAAAACUCACAGCCCUCCAUGUUUCCAUUUUCAUUCAUUUCAGAAAUAUGUUCUCUACAUUUAAACAUUCCACUUCUUUAAACGUCUCUGCCUCGUGAUCUGAAGUGUAAAAUCGUUUUCUACCCUGAAGACGGAGGCUCGAUUUAUCCACUGUUUAUUUGCUUCCAUUGAGUGGAGGCGUAAUGGCCCAGUGGUUAGGGCAGCGGACUCGCGGUCGUAGGAUCGCGGUUUCGAUUCCCAGACCGGGCGUUGUGAGUGUUUAUUGAGCGAAAACACCUAAAGAGCUCCACGAGGCUCCAGCAGGGGAUGGUGGUGAUUCCUGCUGUACUCUUUCACCACAACUUUCUCUCACUCUUACUUCCUGUUUCUGUUGUACCUGUAUUUCAAAGGGCCGGCCUUGUCACUCUCUGUGUCACGCUGAAUAUCCCUGAGAACUACGUUCAGGGUACACGUGUCUGUGGAGUGCUCAGCCACUUACACGUUAAUUUCACGAGCAGGCUGUUCCGUUGAUCGGAUCAACCGGAACCCUCAUCGUCGUAACCGACGGAGUGCUUCCAUCCAAUUCCUUCCAUCAGGGAUGAUGCGAUUAGCGGCCGAUUUGGUCUCUAUUUCUAGCGGGUCGAGAGACCACUUUCUACAUAUCUGCAUCGUCUACAUUUUCAGAUAAUUCUAGCGGAGUUUGUCAUUCGAAACCCCACACGUCACGGGAAAGGAAAAAGUUACGGAAACAGUAGGUCGUGGGGCUGGGGUGGAGGAAUAAAAAAAAUUUUUUUUUUAAACAUAAAAGAAAAGAAAAAAAUGACUUUUCUUUUUUGUUUUUUUCCAAAACCGUAAUUUCCGUUGUAUUAAAGGAGUCAAAAAAAUGAUGGAGGUGGUGAGGGGGGGGCUAACCUUUUCCAUCUCCCCCUCCCCAUAAAGCAUGGGAGAUCUAGUCAGAAACUCCACCAAAUCUCACUUAUCUGAUCUUAAUUCGAGUUAUCUUCCCUGCCAUGUGUUUUUUUGUUCAAUAUUCUAUUUUUUAUUUAGUUUUUUAAACAACCCCGCCCCACAUAGGAAGCUUUUGCCUACUAAUUACAUAGAUAAAAAUGAUUUAAUCACAUGUAAGUUUUUUUUUCCAACUAACCAUAUUAAGUAGCGGAGGAGGAGAGGGUCUGAAAAUUUGGUGGUGGGAGUGCUGUUUUAAUUGACUACUUGUUAUUGAUGAUGAUGAUCAUCAUGAUGAUGAUGAUCAUCAUGAUGAUGAUGAUAAUGAUGAUGAAAAGAGGGAGAGAGAGAAGAUAGACACAGAUAGUAAAGAGAGAGAGGGAGGGAGGGGAGCGAGCGAUAGAGAUAGGGAAGGAGAGAGAGAGAGAUGAAUGGAAGGAGAGGGAAAGAGGGAGAGAGAAAUAUGAAUGGAAGGAAGGGGAGAGGGAGGGAGUGAAGGUUGGAGGGGGAGAGCGGGAAAGAGAGAGAGAUAGGGAGGGAGAGAGAGCUGGAGGAAAAGAGAGGGAAAAAGAGAGAGUGAGAUGUUGGGAGGGAGGGAGAGAGAGGGAGGAAGAGAGAAGGAGAAAGUGACAGAGAGAUGGAGGGAGUGAGAGAGAGAAAGAGAAGAGAGAGAGAGAGAGGUGUACUCGCACUCGGCUGGCACACGUAAAACAACAUGAAAUGAAAAACCUUGCUCAAGGGUAUAUUGCGCUCCUUGGUCCAUGGAUUGAACUCACGUCCUUAUGCUCACGAGUCAAACAAACAUCCUGACCACGCUUUCUCAACGAGACACUCGCACAUGUAACCGAGAUCAUCCGCGUAAUCAGUCGAAAGAAACUCCCUCUUUAUGUCUUCUAAGUUUAAAAAAAUGCGCAGGCGUAGCUAUAGGCGCAGUCGUGGCUGUGUGGCAUGUAGCUUGUUUCCAUACCACAUGGUUCUGGGUUCAAUCCCACUACGUGGCACCUUUGGCAAGUGUCUUCUGCUACCGCCUCGGGCUGACCAAAGCCUUGUGAAUGGAUUUGGCAGACGGAAACUGAAAGAAGCCCGUCAUAUAUAUAUAUAUAUAUAUAUGUGUGUGUGUGUGUGUGUCUGUAUUUGUCCCCCCCCCCGCCACCAUCGCUUGUUGGUGUGUGUCUACGUUCCCAUAAUUUAGCGGCUCGGCAAAAGAGACCGAUAGAAUAAGUACUAGGCUUACGAAGAAGACGUUCUGGGGUCGAUUUGUUCGGCUAAAAGGCGGUGCUCCAGCAUGGCCGCAGUCAAAUGACCGAAACAAGUAAAAGAGUAAGAAAUGAAGAGAAGACAAUAAUCUUUAUCUAUAAUAAGCAAAAUGCUUAAGAUUAGGGGUCGACCCCGACGCUUAAAACUGGGACUAAUUUUAUCGUCUCCGGAAGCAUAAAAGACAGAAUUAAGCCCGGUGGAAUUUGAAACCGGGGCUCGACGACGGACGAAAAAGCGCUAAUCAUUUCAUACAAUCAUUGUCCGUCUUUUUAAGAGAAGGAAGGAUAAUGAUGCUUUCUGAUAUUGGCUCAAGGCCAACAAUUUAGGGAAAGGGAUCCCCCAGUGCAUGACUGGUAUUUAUUUUAUUGACCCCUAAAAGAUGCGAUGCUUAGUCAACCUCGGCGUAAUUUGAACUUAGAACGUAAAGCCGGCGUGUCAAAGGCUCUGCCAGCUAGCCGCCUUUAGUAAUGGUUUCAAAUAUUUACUCUAGGACAGGAAAUUCGAGGGGAAGGGCCCAAGUCGGUUACAAUGAUCCCAAUGCUCAACUGGGACUUUGUUUAUUGACCCCAAAAGGAUAAAAAAAAAAGUGAAGUCGACCUAGGCAGAAUUUGAACUCGCGACGUAACUGCUUUGCAGCAUUUCGUUGAGCAUGCUAACGAUUCUGCUUGUUAGUCGCCUUGAGAAUGGGGUGGAGAGAAAUAAUAAUAAUAAUAUAAUGAUUAAAAAGCUGCGGUUAACUUAAAUUAUCCAUAUAAACAAUCGACAAAAUUCCCUCUAGGGGUGUUUAAAAUUCUUUAAAAUGAAGAUAAGAAACGGGAGAUAAAUCCAGUAAGAUCUGAUGAUUGAAGUUUUGAGACGAUUAUAUUAAAAAGUGCAGAUUGCCACGGAUCUGGUCUUUAAAUUAACAUGCUAUUAAUUAGUUAAUUCUCAUUAAUUCAUGAUGUCAUAUUCAUGUUUCUUUAAUUACGAAAAGAAGGAUUAACGCUGUCGUUUCUGUUUUAUGAUUAAUAUAAAAAAAAAGGGUUCACGCUGGGUAUAAAAUCGGUAGUGGAUGUACCUGUAUGCGUAAGUGUGUGCGUGUGUGUGUGUGUGUGUGUGUGUGUGUGUGUGUGUGUGUGUGUGUGUGUGUGUGUGUGUGUGUGUGUGUGUGUGUGUGUGUGUGUGUGUGUGUGUGAAAGAGAGAGAUGUAAAGAGGGGGAUAAUAUAAGGAAUGGAAGUGGAUCAAGAGGUUACUGCAAAACAGAUGGAGGGAAAGAAAUACAAGGAGGCAGACACACGCGCGUGGACACACGUACACACAUAAGCAUAUACAUGAAUAUAUAUGUGUGUGUUUGUGUGAAUGUGUGUGUGUGUGUGUGUGUAUAUAUAUGUGAAGGCGCAUGGCUCAGUGGUUAGAGUGUCGAGCUUACGAUUGUGAGGUUGUGAGUUCGAAUCCUGGACCGGGUUGCGUGUUGUGCUCUUGAGCAAGGCACUUUAUUUCACGUUGCUCCAGUUUACUCAGCUGUAGAAAUGAGUUACAACAUCACUGGGGAGGCCGGUAUGCAUGGGCGACUGCUGGUCUUCCACAAACAACCUUGCCUGGACUUGUGCCUGGGAGGGUAACUUUCUAGGUGCAAUCUCACGUUCAGUCAUGACCGAAGGGGGUCUCAGCAUAUAUAUAUAUGUGUGUAUGUAUGUGUAUGUAUGUAUGUAUGCAUGUAUGUAUGUAUGCGUGUGCUUAUGUGUGUAUGUAUGUGUAUAUAUGUAAGUUUGUAUGUGCGUGUAUGUAUGUGUGUAUGUAUAUAUGUUUGUAUGUUUGUAGGUAUGUAUGUGUGUAUAUGUGUGUAUGUAUAUGUAUUAGUGCAUGUAUGUAUAUGUAUGUGUGUGUAUGUGUUAAUGUGUGUAUGUAUGUCUCUUUGUAUGUAUGUGUAUGUGCAUAUAGUAUGUAUGUAUGUAUGUAUGUAUGUAUGUAUGUAUGUAUGUAUGUACGUAUGUAGUACAUGGUUGGUUUAGUUUCCUGUGUUUACGCAAUCCUGUCAGCCAUUCUUAAGCAAGAAGCGAUACGGGUGAGAUUCUGCCAUCCGUUUGCUUUAUUUAUAGAACUUAAACCAACUCAAACACACACACACACACACACACACACUGUAUAGAGGGUCGUGGGGUGGGUGGGGAAAAGCUUAGUCCCAAUUUAAUUCCCCCCUCGUACGACUUAUGACUAGUCUUAACAAGAGUUGCUAUAAAUGUAUGACUUCCUUUCGACGAGUCACAAGGGCCAGAUCCGUAUGCGGUGUGGAAGUGUGUACGUGGUGGUCGCGGGGGUUCGGUGUCUUAAUCAAGGCUUUCUUCGUACAUCAUUUCCUCCUCACGCUCCCGCAGUAUGUUACUGGUACUGUUAAGGCGGCAGGCCUCGUGGUUAGGGUGGUGGGGGGUAAGUUUUGUGAUUUAUUUAUUAUCAGGAAGUCGUGUGUUCGAUUCCUUGGCUGGCCCCACUGCCGGGGGUUAUUUUGUUUCGUUGAGCGAAACUUUUCGUUUUACUUUCGUUCCAAUCUACUCGACUGGAACAUCCAGUGCCGAUGCCCCCACUUCUUCCCCCUCACUCUCUCUCUCUCUCUCUCUCUCUCUCUCUCUCUCUCUCUCUCUCUCUCUAUCUAUCUAUCUAUCUAUCUAUCUAUCUAUCUAUCCAUCUAUCUCUAUCUAUCUAUCUAUCGAUCCAUCUAUAUCUAUCUAUCUAUCUAUAUCUUUCUCUCUCUCCUCCCUCUCUCCCUCCCACUUUGGCUCAGCAUAAGGGCGUGCGUUCAAUUCCUGGACUGGGUAGCGCAUUAUGUCCUGGAGCAAGGCAUUGUAUUUCCCACUUGCUCCAGUCUACUCGGUACGCGAUGUCACAUACUACAACGCCACGCUUACCACCACAACGCCACGUCACACACCACAACGCCACGCCAUACACCACAGUACGCGAGGCCACAUAACACAAUGCCACGCCACAAUUCCACGCCACAACGUCACUCCACAUACCACAACGUCACGCCACACACCACAAUGCUACGCCACACCACACAGCUCGACACCCUACGGCACGCGUCACGCCAUACAGUACCACGGCGCCACGUUACACAGCGCGCCUCCACGCCACGCCACGCCAAGCUACACCACGCUACGUCACACUACACCACACACCAAUCCAAACACUACAUCAAAUCCCCCACCCACCACCACCUGUAACAACACCGCCACGCUACACUGCGUCAUACAGCAACAGCACCGCGCCGCACCGCGCCGCACAACGCCACACAACUCCACAUCUCCCUCACCAUCACCAAAACAUUACACAAGAUCACACUACCAACAACAACAACAACAUUACUACCGCUUUAGUUGUGUCUCGCUUCCUGACUCCUCCUUCUCCCCCACCUAAACCCCUCCCUCCCUCCACUUCUGCCUCCCCUCAUCCUCUUCCUUACUGUUUUGUUCAAUUUAGAAACCGGGUUUGAUCUUUUAACCUCACAUUAAGUCGUCUCGCUGUCGCACACACAUACACACACACACACACACUAUGUAUAUAUGUAUGUAUAUAUAUAUAUAUAUAUAUAUAUAUAUUAUAUACACACACACACUAUGUAUAUAUAUAUAUAUAUAUAUAUAUACACACACACACUAUGUAUGUAUAUAUAUAUAUUAUAUACACACACACACACACACACUAUGUAUAUAUAUAUAUAUAUAUAUAUAUUAUAUAUACACACACACACACUAUAUAUAUAUAUAUAUAUAUAUUAUAUAUACACACACACUAUGUAUAUAUAUAUAUAUAUAUUAUAUAUACACACACACACACUAUGUAUAUAUAUAUAUAUAUAUACACACAAACAUGGCUGUUUGGAGUUGCCAGCAUUGUGACUAACAAGCUCUCUCUCUCUCUCUCUCUCUCUCUCUCUCUCUCUCUCUCUCUCUUGCUCUCUCUCUCUCUCUCUACUUUUCGCACACAUACACGUGCGCAUGCUCAAGUCCGCACGCGUACGCACGUGCUUGUCUGUACAUUUACAUAUAAAUGAUAUUUGCUGAAGCAGCAGCAGCAGCAGCAGCAGUAGUAGUAGUAGUAGUAGUAGUAGUAGUAGUAGUAGUGGUGGUGGUGGCGGUGGAGGUGAUGGCGGCGGCGGUGGUGGUAGUAGUAGUAAGUAGUGGUGGUGGUGGUGGUGGUGGUCCUUGUUCUCGUUGGUACGUUCGUUAAGCCCCAUGUCAACCCUAAUCCAGAAGACGUAAUCCAAAGGCUUUCUAGCCAUGUUUAUCAGGUGAAUUAGGAUUAGUUACGUUAACAAAUGAGUCUUUCCUUGUCUACAUACAUACAUACCUACGCUGGACUAUUGAUAAAUCUGCAAUUACUCUAUGCAGACUACGAGUUCAGGUUUAUACCUGUAACUAUUGGGACCUUGGGAUAUGUGGAAGCACUCCGUCGGUUACGACGACGAGGGUUCCGGUUGAUCCGAUCAACGGAACAGCCUGCUCGUGAAAUUAACGUGUAAGUGGCUGAGCACUCCACAGACACGUUUACCCUUAACGUAGUUCUCGGGGAUAUUCGGCGUGACACAGAGAGUGACAAGGCCGGCCCUUUGAAAUACAGGUACAACAGAAACAGGAAGUAAGAGUGAGAGAAAGUUGUGGUGAAAGAGUACAGCAGGGAUCACCACCACCCCCUGCCGGAGCCUCGUGGAGCUUUAGGUGUUUUCGCUCAAUAAACACUCACAACGCCCGGUCUGGGAAUCGAAACCGCGAUCCUACGACCGCGAGUCCGCUGCCCUAACCACUGGGCCAUUGCGCCUCCGUGUGUGUGUAUGUUUGUGUGUGUAUUUGUUUUUGUGCCUGUGUUGCCCCUCUACCACCAACACCACCGCUUGACGUCGGCGUGUUUACUUCCCGUAAGCUAGCGUUUCGACAAAAAGCGACCGAUAGAAUAAGUACCAGGCUUUACAAAUGGAGAAGAACACGAAGUACUGGGGUCGAUUUGUUCGAUUAAAAUUCUUCGAGGUGCUGCUCCAGCAUGGCCGCGGUCUAAGUGCUGAAACAAGUAACAGAGAAUGAUAAAGGAACAAAAGAUAUUCGUUUCUACUCUAGGCACAAGGCCCCGAAUUUUGGGGGAGGUGGCCAGUCGAGUAGAUCGACCUCAGUACGCAACUGGUAAUUAAUUUAUCGAUCCCGAAAGGAUGAAAGGCAAAGUUGACCUCGGCGGAAUUAGAACUCAGAACGUAACGGCAGACGAAAUACUUAUUUCUUUACUACCCCCAAGGGGCUAAACACAGAGAGGGCAAACAAGGACAGACAAACGGAUUAAGUCGAUUAUAUCGACCCCAGUGCGUAACUGGUAUUUAUUUAAUUGACCUCGAAAGGAUGGAAGGCAAAGUCGACCACGGUGGAAUUUGAACUCAGAACAUAGCGUGGUAACGAUUCUACCAGCUCACCACUAUCAAAGGAUUAAAAGAUAUAACUUAUAACAGGUGGAAGGCGGCGAGCUGGCAGAAUCGUUAGCACGCCGGGCGAAACACUUAGCGGCAUUUCGUCCGUCCUUACGUUCUGAGUUCAAAUUCCGCCGAGAUCAACUUUGCCUUUCAUUCUUUCGGAGUCGAUAAAUUAAGUACCAGUGAAACAUUGGGGUCGAUGUAAUCGACUAGUACCCUCCCGACCCCUCCAAAUUUCAGGCAUAUGCCUUUAGUAGAAAGGAUUAUUUCCAACAGGUGGAGCAGCCAUGAGGCCUCUACGAGUAAGGCACAGUAAUGAACACACCCGUUGGGCCUCAGAGAGAGAGAGAGAGAGGGACAGAAAAGGAGAGAGAGAGGGAGAUUGCAAAGGAGAACAAAGCUGUUUUAACAUCCCAAAGGGAGAGGAAUUGGGGUCUUAGAAUUCAAAAGUGUUGGGAGGUUUUUGUUUAGGGAUGAGAGCCCAGUCAGAUAUGCGUGAAUCCUUCUUUGCUUCUCUGGUCCCUCGAGCUCUGAACCAUUUGAACGAAACCCUUUUCUCCUGGGCCCUUAGCACACCCGCCGAGUGCUUUUGUUCAAUAUCGUAGCCUGUGGAUGCGGGUGUUGAACCCCGAUUGCAAUACUACUUUCAAACACCAUACAGCGGUAGGUAUUCAUCAGAAAGAAAGAAAAGAAGGAAGGAAGAAGGAAAGAAAGAAAGAAAGAAAGAAGGAAAGAAAGAAGGAAAGGAAAGAAGGAAGAAAAAAGAAAGAAUGGAAGGAAGGAAGGAAAAAAGAAAGAAGGAAACUAUGAAUGAAGAAAAGGAAGAAAAGAAAGAAAGGAAGAAAAGAAAGAAAGGAAGAAAAGAAAGAAAGGAAGAAAAGAAAGAAAGGAAGAAAAGAAAGAAAGGAAGAAAGAAAAAGAAAAAGACAGAAAGAAAGAAUGAGAAAAAGAAAGAAAGAAAGAAAGAAAGAAACUAUGAAUGAAGAAAAGAAAGAAAAGAAAGAAAGAGAAAAAGACAGAAAGAAAGAAAGAAAGAAUGAAUGAAUGGAUGGAUGAAUGAAUGAGAAAAAGAAAGAAAGGCAGAAAGAGAGAGAGAGAGAGAGAGAGAGAGAGAGAGAGAGAGAGAGAGAGAAAGAAACUUGCUUAACUUUUCAGUGCUUUUUUUGCCGGUCAGCGUUACGUCAUUGAAUGAAGUGGACGACCAGAUGCGGCACUUAGUGAGUGAAGAGAGAAUUAUUGUUCUGGAGUGUUUCACUAUUAGAGCCAUUAUGGAGAACUUCCGGUAGCGAUACAGCUGUCACGGAGAGAUUAGUGUACCACCAGAGGAAAGGCCCCAUGUUUUGAUUCACACAGGCACUUCCGGUGUUGAGUGAAUCUGCGGCAGAGAGCAAAAAAAAUGACUGAAUUGCAGGGUUUACUAAUCGGGGGAACACGCCAUACCUUAUGUUUACGUAAGGGGUCGUUAGGGGACAGAUAUUGAUUAAAUACGUUUGUUGUACGCGAACGCAACUAUUGGCCGCUCUUAAGAAUAAAAGAAUAUAUGUAUAUAUGUCAUUAUUGAGUCUUAUUUCAAGAUUUCUUGCCAAUAGAGAAAGAGCUUGUCUCUAACCC